GACGAACGCUGGCGGCGUGCUUAACACAUGCAAGUCGAGCGGUAAGGCCCUUUCGGGGGUACACGAGCGGCGAACGGGUGAGUAACACGUGGGUGACCUGCCCUUAGCUCUGGGAUAAGCCUGGGAAACUGGGUCUAAUACCGGAUAUGACUCCAUGACGCAUGUUGUGGGGUGGAAAGCCUUGUGCGGCUAGGGAUGGGCCCGCGGCCUAUCAGCUUGUUGGUGGGGUGAUGGCCACCAAGCCGACGACGGGUAGCCGGCCUGAGAGGGCGACCGGCCACACUGGGACUGAGACACGGCCCAGACUCCUACGGGAGGCAGCAGUGGGGAAUCUUGCGCAAUGGGCGAAAGCCUGACGCAGCGACGCCGCGUGAGGGAUGACGGCCU
rnacentral:rRNA from 1 species